rnacentral:rRNA from 1 species
GAGUUUGAUCCUGGCUCAGGAUGAACGCUGGCGACGUGGAUAAGGCAUGCAUGUCGAGCGGUCCGGCUUCGGCCGGGCAGCGGCAAAUGGGUUAGUAACACGUAGGAACAUACCCCACUCACAGGGAUAAGCCGUCGAAAGGCGGUCUAAUACCUGAUGUUCCCGAAAGGGCAAAGGUUUAGAGUAAUCUAUUCCGGAAUGGGAAUGGCCUGCGGCCUAUCAGCUUGUUGGUGAGGUAACGGCUCACCAAGGCUAUGACGGGUAGGCGGUGUGAGAGCAUGACCGCCAACAGGGGAACUGCGACAUGGUCCUCACUCCUACGGGAGGCAGCAGUCGAGAAUCUUCCACAAUGGGCGCAAGCCUGAUGGAGCGACGUCGCGUGCAGGAUGAAGGCCUUCGGGUCGUAAACUGCUUUUGGGGAGGAAGAAGUCGCCUUUGGCGACUGACGGUACUCCCAGAAUAAGGGGCUGCUAAUUUCGUGCCAGCAGCGGCGGUAAUACGAGAGCCCCGAGCGUUAUCCGGAAUUAUUGGGCGUAAAGGGUCCGUAGGCGGCUUUGUUAGUCUCCUGUUAAAUUUCAGGGCUUAACCCUGAACCCGCGGGGGAAACGGCAAAGCUCGAGAGCGUGAGAGGCUAGAGGAACUCAUGGUGUAGGGGUGAAAUCCGUUGAUAUCAUGGGGAACACCAAAGGCGAAGGCAUCUAGCUGGCGCGACUCUGACGCUGAGGGACGAAAGCGUGGGGAGUGAAUGGGAUUAGAUACCCCAGUAAUCCACGCUGUAAAUGUUGGAGACUAGCUGUCUGAAGUGUCGACCCUUCAGGUGGCGAAGCUAACGCGUUAAGUCUCCCGCCUGGGAAGUACGAGCGCAAGCUUAAAACUCAAAGGAAUAGACGGGAAUUUGCACAAGCGGUGGACCAUGUGGUUCAAUUCGUCAACACGCGAAGCAUUUUACCAGGGUUUGAAACUCCGACGACGAUGUUCCGAAAGGAAUAUCUUCUCACAAGGACGUCGGAGCAGGUGUUGCACGGCCGUCGUCAGCAUGUGGCGUGAGCUGCC